rnacentral:piRNA from 1 species
UCAAAAGUUGAUUUUUAAAGCCAUGC